CUACGUGCCAGCAGCCGCGGUAAUACGUAGGGUGCGAGCGUUAAUCGGAAUUACUGGGCGUAAAGCGAGCGCAGACGGUUACUUAAGCAGGAUGUGAAAUCCCCGGGCUCAACCUGGGAACUGCGUUCUGAACUGGGUGACUAGAGUGUGUCAGAGGGAGGUAGAAUUCCACGUGUAGCAGUGAAAUGCGUAGAGAUGUGGAGGAAUACCGAUGGCGAAGGCAGCCUCCUGGGAUAACACUGACGUUCAUGCUCGAAAGCGUGGGUAGCAAACAGGAUUAGAUACCCUGGUAGUCCACGCCCUAAACGAUGUCAAUUAGCUGUUGGGCAACUUGAUUGCUUAGUAGCGUAGCUAACGCGUGAAAUUGACCGCCUGGGGAGUACGGUCGCAAGAUUAAAACUCAAAGGAAUUGACGGGGACCCGCACAAGCGGUGGAGUAUGUGGUUUAAUUCGACGCAACGCGAAGAACCUUACCAAGCCUUGACAU
rnacentral:rRNA from 1 species